rnacentral:rRNA from 1 species
AAAGGAAUUGACGGGACCCGCACAAGCGGUGGAUGAUGUGGUUUAAUUCGAUGCAACGCGAAAAACCUUACCCACCUUUGACAUGGCAGGAAUCCUAAGGAGAUUUGGAGUGCUCGAAAGAGAACCUGCACACAGGUGCUGCAUGGCUGUCGUCAGCUCGUGUCGUGAGAUGUUGGGUUAAGUCCCGCAACGAGCGCAACCCUUGCCAUUAGUUGCUACGAAAGGGCACUCUAAUGGGACUGCCGGUGACAAACCGGAGGAAGGUGGGGAUGACGUCAAGUCCUCAUGGCCCUUAUAGGUGGGGCUACACACGUCAUACAAUGGCCGGUACAGAGGGUAGCCAACCCGCGAGGGGGAGCCAAUCCCACAAAGCCGGUCGUAGUCCGGAUCGCAGUCUGCAACUCGACUGCGUGAAGUCGGAAUCGCUAGUAAUCGCGGAUCAGCAUGUCGCGGUGAAUACGUUCCCGGGUCUU